rnacentral:pre_miRNA from 1 species
UAAAUAAAGAAACUCUUGCCUAAACCUGGUCCAUUAUGAAUUUAAAACAAAAAUAUAUGAGACCUAUAUAUUUAAUAGAUAAGUCUCACCAUGUCUCUUGUAUCUUGAAUCCAUGAUGGACCGUGUUUAAGUAAGAAAAC